CCUACGGGUGGCAGCAGUGAGGAAUAUUGGUCAAUGGACGAGAGUCUGAACCAGCCAAGUAGCGUGAAGGAUGACUGCCCUAUGGGUUGUAAACUUCUUUUAUAUGGGAAUAAAAUGUUCCACGUGUGGGAUUUUGUAUGUACCAUAUGAAUAAGGAUCGGCUAACUCCGUGCCAGCAGCCGCGGUAAUACGGAGGAUCCGAGCGUUAUCCGGAUUUAUUGGGGUUAAAGGGAGCGUAGGUGGAUUGUUAAGUCUGUUGGGAAAGUUUGCGGCUAAACCGGAAAAGUGCAGUUGAAACUGGCAGUCUUGAGUAAAGUAGAGGUGGGCGGAAUUCGUGGUGUAGCGGUGAAAUGCUUAGAUAUCACGAAGAACUCCGAUUGCGAAGGCAGCUCACUGGACUGCAACUGACACUGAGGCUCGAAAGUGUGGGUAUCAAACAGGAUUAGAUACCCGAGUAGUC
rnacentral:rRNA from 1 species